ACAUUGGUGGUUCAGUGGUAGAAUUCUCAUCUUCCAUAAAGGAGACUCAGGUUCAAAUCCUGGCCAGUCUA
rnacentral:tRNA from 1 species